AGAGUUUGAUCCUGGCUCAGGAUGAACGCUGGCGGCGUGCCUAACACAUGCAAGUCGAGCGAGAAACUCAUGACCAAUACUUCGGUUGCGUGAUUGAGCGGAAAGCGGCGGACGGGUGAGUAACGCGUAGGCAACCUGCCCCUUGCAGAGGGAUAGCCUCGGGAAACCGGGAUUAAAACCUCAUAAUGCGCAAGUGUGACAUCUCACAUGCGCCAAAGAUUUAUCGGCAUACGAUGGACCCGCGUCUGAUUAGGUAGUUGGUGAGGUAACGGCCCACCAAGCCGACGAUCAGUAGCCGACCUGAGAGGGUGACCGGCCACAUUGGGACUGAGACACGGCCCAAACUCCUACGGGAGGCAGCAGUGGGGAAUAUUGCACAAUGGGGGAAACCCUGAUGCAGCGACGCCGCGUGAGUGAAGAAGUAUUUCGGUAUGUAAAGCUCUAUCAGCAGGGAAGAAGAUGACGGUACCUGCACAAGAAGCCCCGGCUAACUACGUGCCAGCAGCCGCGGUAAUACGUAGGGGGCAAGCGUUAUCCGGAUUUACUGGGUGUAAAGGGAGCGCAGACGGUUAUGCAAGUCAGAUGUGAAAGGCUGGGGCUCAACCCCGGGACUGCAUUUGAAACUGUAUAACUGGAGUGCCGGAGAGGUAAGCGGAAUUCCUAGUGUAGCGGUGAAAUGCGUAGAUAUUAGGAGGAACACCAGUGGCGAAGGCGGCUUACUGGACGGUAACUGACGUUGAGGCUCGAAAGCGUGGGGAGCAAACAGGAUUAGAUACCCUGGUAGUCCACGCGGUAAACGAUGAAUACUAGGUGUUGGUGGGCAAAGCCCAUCGGUGCCGUCGCAAACGCAAUAAGUAUUCCACCUGGGGAGUACGUUCGCAAGAAUGAAACUCAAAGGAAUUGACGGGGACCCGCACAAGCGGUGGAGCAUGUGGUUUAAUUCGAAGCAACGCGAAGAACCUUACCAAGUCUUGACAUCCCGGCGACCGGACAGUAACGUGUCCUUUUCUUCGGAACGCCGGAGACAGGUGGUGCAUGGUUGUCGUCAGCUCGUGUCGUGAGAUGUUGGGUUAAGUCCCGCAACGAGCGCAACCCUUAUUGUCAGUAGCCAGCAGGUAAAGCUGGGCACUCUGAUGAGACUGCCAGGGACAACCUGGAGGAAGGUGGGGAUGACGUCAAAUCAUCAUGCCCCUUAUGAUUUGGGCUACACACGUGCUACAAUGGCGUAAACAAAGGGAAGCGAACCUGCGAGGGUGAGCAAAUCUCAAAAAUAACGUCUCAGUUCGGACUGUAGUCUGCAACCCGACUACACGAAGCUGGAAUCGCUAGUAAUCGCGAAUCAGCAUGUCGCGGUGAAUACGUUCCCGGGUCUUGUACUCACCGCCCGUCA
rnacentral:rRNA from 1 species